rnacentral:lncRNA from 1 species
AUAUAUUUCUCGAUAGGAUAGUAGCAUAAGCCUAUAUAUAUAGAGAGUUUAGUUGGAAUGCUAUAAGUAGCAAAUGGAUUCCAUUGCCACCUAUUUAUUUUCGAUAAUUGGACUUUCAAAUCGAUGAUCGGUCACGUUGAAUAUUAUUCGUACUACUUGAAAUAUUUAGAAAUCAAAUUUCAUGUUUUUCGGUAUUGUUCUCUUAUCCAUCAAGUGGAUACAAAAAUAAACGGCUGAAAAUGAAUAUCCUUUAAAAAGUUAUGAUAGGAGUUUUGUAAUCAAGAACAAGAGUAUAGAUCUUGUUCUAAAUAGUCAAAAAAUUUUCUAAUCAAACUUCAACUGAUUUGGCUAUUUUUAUACCGUUAAACAAGAAAACGCGCGUUUUAUAUCGACCAUUAAAAUUACAAAUUUUGAAACACUUUGAUCAUUAGGUCAAUAUUGUCGAAAAAAAUUGAAAUUUAGUUUUUAUAUACUUCAAGUGGUAUAGAUUAUGUUCAACAGUAUCAACGAUUUAAAGGCUCCAUCAUCGAAAAUAAAUGGGUGACAAUGAAGCUCGCUUGCUACUAAUAAUAUUCUAGCUGAACUCUCUCUCUCUCUCUCUCUCUCUCUCUCUCUCUCUCUCUCUCUCUCUCUAUAUAUAUAUAUAUAUAUAUAUAUAUAUAUAUAUAGUUGAGAUAGGAUACUUUUAGAAACACCACCCACUUUGUGCUUCUAAGUUUUUAACCCUUGGAUCCACUCCUUGAUUACUAAUAUUCCUUGGAUCAAAUACUAUUCCACCUACCACCACCUACCACCAUCAUCUUAACCUCACAUCUCUCCAUCCAAGGGCUAAAAACUCUAACACCACCCACUUGGUGCUUUUAGAAGUAUUCUAGUUAAAAACUCUAAAGAGGAGUUGAGCAAGAAUACUAUCGAUAGCAAACGGGCUCCGUUGCCACCUAAUUAUUUUCGAUGAUACAGCCUCCAAAUCGACGAUCGGCACCGUUAAACAUGAUCUAUACCACUUGAAAUAUUUAGAAAUCAAAUUUUAUACAUUUUCGAUAUUGUUCUUUUAUCCAUCGAGUCGACACAAAAAUAAACGAUUUC